GGAAAAGAUACAUUCGGCCCGAUACGCGUCCCAUCCGACAAGAAUACCCAUAUGGUGGUGAUAGGAUUCAAGGCUAGUUUGGUUUAUUAGGGCUUCUUUAGGCCUAUACUAUGUACACGUAAUAGUUAUGAGCAUUAUGAUGAUUUGGAAUAAAAUUUCUUAGGAAUUGUUGGGCGCAUUUUGGGAUAAGGUAUAUGUUUUGUUUUGUUCCUUUUACAAUUCUCCAUAACAAGUUUUGCUGGUAUUAAGCUUUUCAUUUGUGUAUUUUCAGCUAUCUUUGGAUGAGGCAAUGGAGAUUGCAUCAUUGAAGAAUGCGACACUAGA